rnacentral:rRNA from 1 species
AUCGAUUAGCAUGCGAGUUGAGAGGUGCAAGACCUCGGCAUACUGCUCAGUAACACCGUGAUCUGCCCUAAGGAGGGGGAUAACCCCGGGAAACUGGGGAUAAUACCCCAUAGACUAUAGAUGCUGGAAUGCUUCGUAGUUCAAAGGUCCGCCGCCUUAGGAUGGGUCUGCGGCCGAUUAGGUUGUUGUUGGGGUAACGGCCCAACAAGCCUGUAAUCGGUACGGGUUGUGGGAGCAAGAGCCCGGAGAUGGAUUCUGAGACACGAAUCCAGGCCCUACGGGGCGCAGCAGGCGCGAAAACUUUACAAUGCGGGAAACCGUGAUAAGGGAACUCCGAGUGCCCGUAAAAUCGGGCUGUCAAUCUGUUUAAAUAACAGGUUAAGA